rnacentral:misc_RNA from 1 species
UUCCCGAUGAACAUUUCAUUAUUAUAAUUAAGUACGUUUUAAAUUUUAAAAAAAGUUGUUUUUAUAGUUGUACAGUUCUUAUCGCUGUGUUGAAUGACAGUGUUGUUUUGUCUUUAUAUUUGUCUUUAUAUUUAUUUGUCAGUAUAAGUGGGAUAAUGGCUCUGUCUGAACGGUUCUGUGACUAAUUUCUUGCAGCUCUUACGCUUUAGCCCUCUCUGUGGCUCCGCUCCUUAAGGGUGCAGAUGAAGCCAGUAUUUUAUUUAGCGACCUGGACUGUGAUGGUACAGAGACCAGCUUAGCUCAUUGUAAACACAGUGGCUUCUACAACCACACCUGCACUCACAAUAAUGACGUGGGUUUAAGCUGUGAACUUGAUGCGGAAUACCGCCUGACUGGCACUCUGCGCACCAGCCUCGCCAUGGGGCGCUUUGAGAUGCUUAGUGGACCCAUCACGAUUAAUGGGAAAGAAUUCUUGAACGAAAAUGGAAUGCAGUAUGUGGCAAUACGUACUCUGCUACAAGCACUGCCAAAGUUAUCUGCAGACAGCUUCGUCAUCCAUCAAGUGGGGCUGUGCUUAUUCCUGCAUCCUUAUUUGGCGAAAAAGGAAUUGGACACUGGAUGACUGACAGUAACUGUGCAGGUGAUGAAGCGAAUAUUAUCGCUUGCACCCAAAGGAUAACUGGCUACUUCCCCUCGUGCCCCAAAUCAAGAGAAUUCGGUGUGAUCUGCAGCGAUUCAAACCCUGGCCUUUAUAUCCUCCUGGAGAACAACGGCACAAACGAAGCUUUUCCCCCGUUUGAGGGAACGAAUGUUAGUUUAAAGUGUGAAAGCACAAGACAAAUUGAGUUAGAAGCCAACUACACCUGGCCAGAGACUGCAGGUGGUCGUCCUUAUGGGAAAUACCUGAUCUUUGACAACGUGACCAGAGCUCACAGUAAACGCCGAGUGAAGUGUGGUGCCACCUACAUCAAAGAUGGUCGCAGAGAGGUUGUGUCUAGUGACCCAAUCACAAUGCAGGUUUACUACAAACCUGUCAUCAGGAUUUUGUCUGAUACUUCUACGUGUGAGCCACAUGCAUCGCCAUCAAAUACUUGCUACAUCACUAAGGGUCAGAAUGUUAACCUGGUCUGUGAAGCUGAAAGCAACCCCAUCCCUGCCCUGUUCCAAUGGUCGGAAAAAUACAUUUCAAACAGCAAAAAGCUGCAGAUACUAUCAGCACAUGUGUCGAAACACGAUUGCCGUUACAGGUGUACUGUGUCAACAACCAUACAUGAUGAAAGCGACAGUCGUCUGCCUUUGUCAUCAUCUUACCUGUUCACUGUCAUCGUUCAAGAGCCGCCCGCUGUGUUAAGCUUCACUGCCAAUGAUGAACACAAUACGACGAUGAUGGUUGACGAGAACUCCAAUGUGAGCUUGUCAUGUGAGGCUGCUGGGAGGCCCACACCUAGCAUGAUCCUCAAAGCGACUCAAACAGCCGUGAACUGAGCAGAAUUCUUGAAGAUGAUCUACAACCUAGUGACAGAACAGGAAAAAUAGUUUUUGUCAUGCAUGACAUGCAGUGCGAGAACUCGGGUACCUACAGGUGUGAGGCGGACAACCGAGCAGGACAGGACAGAAGAACUCUCAAGCUUUUUGUGCCAUGUGCUCCGAGAGCACGAAACAGAGAAGAAAAAAUUGUCUAUGUUGACGUUGUUAAUUUUCGAGGGUCUCUCACUUUGGAAAUGGUCGCAUACCCACAACCUUAUGUGAAAUCCAUGGCGAUUUAUGGAGCAGACGUGAACGACACGGUCGAGGUUUGCUAGAGGACCGAAUAAACGUUACCUGUGCUGCGACAACUGUUGCACCUGCUUUGCUUACCUGUAACAUCGCUGUCGUCAAUGUCACUGAUGGCGACGUCUACCAGAUUGUUUUCAGCAACCACCUCGGAGACUUGACUUUUAAUUUCACAGGUAGACAUAUAGACAUCGGCGAGAAAUUGGUUUUGGCUCGAGACGGAGAUAGCAUCAAGCUGACGAUAGUAAACACCAUCAACAAUGGCGCCUCGUCGUUUGCCGGGGACAAAGGAUUUGAUCGUAUGGAGCGAAGGUCCGCUUGCUCUUUCCUGUGAAUAGCAGAUGUAAUCUAGUAACCGGUUAUUUUUGCGAAGGAUGGGCGAAGCUAGCGUUAAGAUGGUCAACAACAACAAGAUGCCUAAAAAAAAAAAAUAAUAAGGCGUGCCAACUCUGGUGGAGGAUUUGUUAGCGAACUGCCUUUGAGAGAUAUUAGAUUGUGUCUGCCAUGUGAACAAGUGGAGACUUGAUAUCCUGCUGAUAGUUCUGUUUGCCUUCCUGUCUUGCUUGAGAUGAAAAUGAGAUAAGCUUGAGACUCAUGUGAAGCUGAAUGCGUUAUCUUUGUGGAUAUUUUUGGUUGCUGUUUGUUUUUUUCUUGCAGAUCCAAGUCCGCACUUGGUGGUCACUAUUGGAAACAGUACCUGAAUUCUUUUGAACCCUUUUUCUGCUGGGGCCAAAUGAUUUUAUGCCGUCGGUGCUGAAUAUUUGAAAAUAAAUUAUUUUACAAAUGUA